GGGGUUGUCAAUAUGUUCCCGGUUGUUGAAUGUGACACAUCAACGGGAUAAAGAAUGUCUGGAUGUGGACGUGAAGGGGGAGUGAAUGGUGGUGAUCCCAUCGGACGAGAACCUUGUCCUCCUUAGAAGGCUUGGUCAAUCAUUCUAUCUUUGAGCUAGUUUUUGGGUGUGAGUUAGCCCAAGGCCUAAUUUAUCAGGCCCCAACUAAUUUGUGUUGAUUAUUUAUGUUU
rnacentral:misc_RNA from 1 species